AAUCUCAAAAAUAGGAGGGGAAUGGCAUCCGACGUAAAAAAGCCAUCGUUCUGAGGGUAUUUUGGGGAUAUAGCGGACUCAACCGCCCUUUCCUGUCCUCCCAUUGUUUGCCGCUAUUUUACAAUUUCCGGUCAGCCUUUUCCCUCGACAACACCCACGAAAAAUUUCCCGUUCUUCAUCUCUUUCGGUCAAUUUAAAAUCCUUAAAACUUCCCUAAAAUUCUCUCCAAUUUCGUGCUUUUCAUCCAUGGCUUCACGCAGGCGCAUACUUUUGAAAGUCAUUAUCCUUGGCGAUAGUGGCGUGGGGAAGACAUCGCUAAUGAAUCAGUAUGUGAAUCGUAAGUUUAGCAAUCAAUACAAGGCGACCAUUGGAGCAGAUUUUCUCACGAAGGAAGUUCAGCUCGAUGACAGGUCAUUCACAUUACAA